rnacentral:ncRNA from 1 species
CUCAUCAAGAGUUGGUGGAGGGACAGGCCCAAUGAUACCGCGGCAACCAUUUAGUACAAGCUAAAACGGUGCCAAUUCCGGCGAGAAAUUCUUGCGAGAUG